UUUUUAUUUUUUUUUUUUAAGUACCACCUGCUCAAUGAUAUUAAAUAGCCGCGGAAAUUUAACUGUGCUAAGGUAGCAUAAUCAUUAACCUCUUAAUUAGAGGCUUGUAUGAAAGGUGAAACAUUUCAAUUACUUUAUUAUAAAAAUUUGUUAAAUUUAAAUUUAGAAUAAAAAUGUUCUAAUGAAUUAAAAAGACGAUAAGACCCUAUUGAACUUAACUUUUGUUAAGCUGGGGCAGCUAAGCAAAAAUUAUCUUACUAUUUUUUUUUAAAUAAAUUUUCCAAUAAAAUUGAUUUUACUAGUUACCAUAGGGAUAACAGCAUAAUAAUUUUUCUUAAGCCCUUAUUUAAAAAUUUGUUUGUGACCUCGAUGUUGAAUUACUUUACCUUUUAUUGAGCACCCAUAAWAAAAGUUGGUCUGUUCGACCAAUUAAAAAGUACAU
rnacentral:rRNA from 1 species